rnacentral:tRNA from 1 species
GGAGAUUUAGCUCAGUGGUAGAGCGCUUACCUAGCAAGUGCAAGGCCCUGGGUUCGGUCCCCAGCUCCG